rnacentral:rRNA from 1 species
CCUACGGGUGGCAGCAGUGAGGAAUAUUGGUCAAUGGACGAGAGUCUGAACCAGCCAAGUAGCGUGAAGGAUGACUGCCCUACGGGUUGUAAACUUCUUUUAUAUGGGAAUAAAAUGUUCCACGUGUGGGAUUUUGUAUGUACCAUAUGAAUAAGGAUCGGCUAACUCCGUGCCAGCAGCCGCGGUAAUACGGAGGAUCCGAGCGUUAUCCGGAUUUAUUGGGUUUAAAGGGAGCGUAGGUGGCUUGUUAAGUCAGUUGUGAAAGUUUGCGGCUCAACCGUAAAAUUGCAGGUGAAACUGGCAGUCUUGAGUACAGUAGAGGUGGGCGGAAUUCGUGGUGUAGCGGUGAAAUGCUUAGAUAUCACGAAGAACUCCGAUUGCGAAGGCAGUUCACUGGACUGCAACUGACACUGAGGCUCGAAAGUGUGGGUAUCAAACAGGAUUAGAUACCCCUGUAGUC